GUGCUCACUUCGGCAGCACAUAUACUAAAAUUGGAAUGAUACAGAGAAGAUUAGCAUAAGAUGACAAGCAAAUUCGUGAAGUGUUCCAUAUAUUU
rnacentral:snRNA from 1 species